CAAGCUCCUCUCUGAAUGAAAGCAAACGCUGGACUGAAUGUUUGGGGUGGGAAGCUGCUGGAGCAGCCAUGCUAGCCCCGCCCCCAUCAAGGCCCCUGGCCAAUACGGCAUCUUCUAGGGCCUGUGCUAAGGAUGGGGCUGGGACAAAUCACCCUCCCUACAGCACGAAGCCUUGGGAGGGGCAUUCUGUGGCUUCCGUUUUAAAAUGAAACUUAGAAAACUUUUUAAAAGGUUUUUUUAAAAAAAUCUUCCCCUGCAAUUUUCCCUAAAAGACUACAAUUCCCAAGGAUCACUCUCCCAGGGCAGCAGGUGAAGAAGUUAAACAAGAGGAGUCUUCAGUCUUUCAUUUCAAAAGUAAAGCCGCAGAAGAUGCUACUCUCUCAGCAACUGAGGGGAAAUGAAAAUAGAGCCAUCCUGUUUCCUGCCUGCUCCCAAAUUAUAAGAAGUCUGACCUUACAAAACCCAGUAGAAUGGAACAAGAGGGCAGACGGAGGGAGUCUCCUAAGGACAACAUAAGGAAAACCCGAACACCUGUCUAUUCCACAUUCCCAAUGGACAAGAUUUGAGCUGGUAUUUCUGUUUAACAAAGAAAAUAUUUACAGAUUUAUCAGUCCCCGAGCAACGGCUGUCCUGCUGUGUGACCAGUACUCGCUUGUAUUUUUGUUACACUAAAGUGUAAAGAGCAAUAUUCUGAACUUUCCCAGACCCAGUGAAUUUGGGAAUAACUUCACAGAUGUCAGGUGAAGAUUAAAAGAGAAGGAACUUGACCUCAUGGAGAAAAAUAAAAUGUGGGUUCAUAUUUUUGUAACAAAUUCACUACUUAAUGUGUGCAUUUGUAGUAUUUCUGCAGUUAGUUCU